rnacentral:lncRNA from 1 species
UCUACUAAAAAUUAUAUUUUUUAUACGAUUAACUAAAAAAAAUGAUUUUUAUUUUAUGCUUCUUUUAACUACUAACUAAUCAUUAAUAGGAUUUUUAUAAGUAAUAUAUGUAGUUAAGAGGCUAUGAACCCCAUAUUCACCACUCAUUAAAUUGAUGCCACACAACAUGUUUAGAAGGUAGAAUGGAGGGACUAUCAAUUGUGAAAUU